AUUGAACGCUGGCGGCAUGCUUUACACAUGCAAGUCGAACGGUAACAGGCCUUCGGGUGCUGACGAGUGGCGAACGGGUGAGUAAUGCAUCGGAACGUACCCAGAGGUGGGGGAUAACGCAGCGAAAGCUGUGCUAAUACCGCAUGUGAUCUGAGGAUGAAAGCGGGGGACCGAGCAGCAAUGUUUGGCCUCGCGCCUUUGGAGCGGCCGAUGUCGGAUUAGCUAGUUGGUGGGGUAAAGGCCUACCAAGGCGACGAUCCGUAGCUGGUCUGAGAGGACGACCAGCCACACUGGGACUGAGACACGGCCCAGACUCCUACGGGAGGCAGCAGUGGGGAAUUUUGGACAAUGGGCGCAAGCCUGAUCCAGCAAUGCCGCGUGCGGGAAGAAGGCCUUCGGGUUGUAAACUGCUUUUGGCAGGAACGAAACGGUGUCCGCUAAUACCGGGCGCUAAUGACGGUACCUGCAGAAUAAGCACCGGCUAACUACGUG
rnacentral:rRNA from 1 species